CACGUAGGGGGCAAGCGUUGUCCGGAAUCAUUGGGCGUAAAGAGCUCGUAGGCGGCUCAGUAAGUCGGGUGUGAAACCCUCAGGCUCAACCUGGGGACGCCACCCGAUACUGCUGUGGCUAGAGUCCAGUAGGGGAGUGUGGAAUUCCCGGUGUAGCGGUGAAAUGCGCAGAUAUCGGGAGGAACACCGGUGGCGAAGGCGGGUCUCUGGGCCGAUACUGACGCUGAGGAGCGAAAGCGUGGGGAGCGAACAGG
rnacentral:rRNA from 1 species